rnacentral:lncRNA from 1 species
CUAUCACGUGCUGUAGUUCAUCUGCAAUUCUACGCUGUUGACGCCGGAGGCACCGUGCACAGACUGUCCUUCCUGCGGUACCUGUGCGAUGCGGCAGCAGCUGUCACGGAGACUCGUUUACCGAGCACGCCUAGAAAGGGAUGUCACGAUUUUGUGAGCCAGAGGAAUCUACACCACUUGGGAGCCUGCGGCACUUCUGCAGGCUGAACAGCGCGUCAAAGCAUCUGAUUUGCAUGCUGCGACAAGGUGUGUGCAAGACGGUCACUGCCACACACAUGAGAUGUCGGUACUCACUACUUCAUUCCUUGGAAGCGAUAUUCUUGGUCCCAACCAAGCAGCCCGGAAGAAAUCGGAGACAAAUAAAAUGUGCAAAGAAUA